UUACCGGAGUACUAUGAAUAUUAAAAAUUUAAAACUCAAAGAACUUGGCGGUGUUUUAGACCACUCAGGGGAACCUGUCUCAUAAUCGAUAAUCCACGUUGUACCUGACCUUUUUUUGUAUUCAGUUUGUAUACCGUUGUCGUCAGGUAACUUUUUAGAAAUUAGAAGUUAGCAGCAGAAAUAAAAAUAAUUUAAUACGUCAAAUCAAGGUGCAGCUAAUGAAAAGGGGAGGAUGGGUUACAAUUAUAUAAUUUAUAAUAACGGAUAAGUAUAUGGAGUAUAUAUUAACUAUAAGGCGGACUUGAAAGUAAAUUAGGUUAUAUAAAUAAUUUGAAUGAGGCUCUGAAACGUGU
rnacentral:rRNA from 1 species